GAUGAACGCUAGCGAUAGGCCUAACACAUGCAAGUCGAGGGGCAGCACAUGAGUAGCAAUACGAUGGUGGCGACCGGCGCACGGGUGAGUAACACGUAUGCAACCUACCUUUAACAGGGGAAUAACCCGUUGAAAAACGGACUAAUACUCCAUAACACAGGGGUCCCGCAUGGGAAUAUUUGUUAAAGGACAACCGGUUGAAGAUGGGCAUGCGUUCCAUUAGCUAGUUGGCGGGGUAACGGCCCACCAAGGCAACGAUCAUUAGGGGUUCUGAGAGGAAGGUCCCCCACACUGGUACUGAGACACGGACCAGACUCCUACGGGAGGCAGCAGUGAGGAAUAUUGGUCAAUGGACGCAAGUCUGAACCAGCCACGUCGCGUGAAGGAAGACGGCCCUACGGGUUGUAAACUUCUUUUAUACGGGAAUAAAGUGCCCCACGCGUGGGGUUUUGCAUGUACCGUAUGAAUAAGGAUCGGCUAACUCCGUG
rnacentral:rRNA from 1 species